UACGGAGGGUGCAAGCGUUAUCCGGAUUCACUGGGUUUAAAGGGUGUGUAGGCGGGUAUUUAAGUCAGUGGUGAAAUCUCCGAGCUCAACUCGGAAACUGCCAUUGAUACUAUUUAUCUUGAAUAUUGUUGAGGUAGGCGGAAUAUGUCAUGUAGCGGUGAAAUGCUUAGAUAUGACAUAGAACACCGAUUGCGAAGGCAGCUUGCUAAACAAUUAUUGACGCUGAGGCACGAAAGCGUGGGGAUCAAACAGGAUUAGAUACCCUGGUAGUCCACGCCCUAAACGAUGAUUACUGGACAUUUGCGAUAUACAGUGAGUGUCUGAGCGAAAGCAUUAAGUAAUCCACCUGGGAAGUACGUCCGCAAGGAUGAA
rnacentral:rRNA from 1 species